rnacentral:lncRNA from 1 species
CUAAUUGCUGGACAGCUGGCAGCAAAAAAUGUAAUCAGAUGAGGGUAAAAAGGUAAUCUGGAUCUCAAUAAGUAACAAGCCCUUUAGCAGUCAGGCAACAGAUUAAGCUCAGAGGGUAGAAUGAGGGGAGAAGAUUGGGGAUUUGUUAAGGGUUGUUACCCCUUCCUCUUCGCCAAUGAUUCAUCUAUUAACAACUCACUAACAACCCUUUAACAUACAUACAUACAUAUGGAAAUCUCAAAUCUAUGUGUAUAUGGAGAGAAAGAGACAGAGAUUCAGCCAUUGUUUGGGUACUAUAUGUAAUGGGUUAUGGUUUAGGGUUUUUACAAAACUUUUUCCACAUUCUGCUCUUCCAAGUUUGGUGACUGCGAAUGAAAUUACCCUUCAAGUAUUUUCCCUACUUGGCAAAGCUUUUGAGACUAUGAGUUUUGAGUAAUGCUAUUAUUUAGCGGUAUGUUUUGAAGUAAAUAAAGUGGCUGUGACGAUGAUUCUUGAUUCCUCUGAGCUUAUGAGUCGGAAAACGAGACGAUCGGCCCCGUAACUUGGCGAGGCAACACGGAUGGCAUGUGAUUUUUCUGAUCACAUGCAACCGGUGAUUUGCAGCCAUGGCGGAUUGGACUUUCUCUCGUCCGACAAUAACAGAUCUGAGCCUCAACUUAUUUGCUACAUCAAGACUUACCCACUUGGGCACUGCCGGCAAUAUCUUCAUUUAAAAAAAAAAAAAAAAAAUUCUGGAAAAAUAUUAUACUGAUUGUGUUUGUUGAAUUUUUGUGUAGAAUUAUUUUCGAAUUUUUUGACCUUUAAGUUCCAAGACUUGUAUAAUUACUAAUUACUUUAUAUAAAGAAUUCAAAUUUGUUUCGUUUUCAGUUUUUGAUGGAU